GGAGCAAAUACAUUGACAGGGUUGCCGUGAUUUCAGUUUUAGAGUCCCCAAACAAAGUGGCAGCCCUGUCAAUGUAUUUGCUCCCUAUCUUUGCAUGGAGAGUUUGUCUUGAUGUAGAGGUGGACUCUCAGGAUAGCGUGGGAUAUCCCCUCCAUUUUCGCCUCGACUUGAGAGCUUUUUUGAGCUUGGGAGUUGAUUUCAGAGAAAACCAGUAGCACCAUCGUGUUUCUCGCGAACUUUUACAUAAGAAUUUAAGAAUCAACAGUCAAAUCGCAAAUUCCUCACACAUGCAACAUAUCCAUUAUUGACUAUUUGCCUGAAAAAGUACAGAUUCCUCCUCUGGCCUUCCUCUAGAGUUUUAUCAUUCCAUUCAAUAAUUAGUUUAUUUUUCUAUUUUUCCAGAAACCUGUGCUGUGAGCUACAACCCCGAUGCAAGAGUUCACCACGGCUCCGUGACGGAUAGCCUAAGGAGCGCGCUCUCCCGGCUGCGUCAGCGGACUGCCAAUUCCGGUUCCGGGGACUCCUCCCCAGAUGCCUCUCCAACGCACACACUUACGGUAAGUCUACGACCAUUCACACACUCACACGUCCAUCUAUUCCUCCAGCCAAUCCGCCGUCUGAAAAUGUCGGAGGGUAUGGAUUCGUUCGACAUGAAUCGAUCGAAAAAUGAAAACGUAAAUCGAUCAACACCGAUUCGAUCGACUCACGGGUUUGUCGAUCGAUUCACGGGUUUGUCGAUCGAUUCACGGUUGUCGAUUGAAUCGGUGUCGAUCGAUUUACGUUUUUAUUUUUCGAUCCAUUCAUGUCGAUCGAAUCGACACCGGUGUUUUUAAAUUAACUGUCAAUCGAAUCGGUGUCGAUCGAAUCCAUACCCUCCUAAAAUAUCUAUGUAUUUAGCCUCUGAAACCGGGACCGCAUGUGACGUAUAUUGUAACAGAAACAUUUUGGUCUCGGAACGGGGGUGCAAACUUGGGUUCUAAGGCCAACAUCUGUG
rnacentral:lncRNA from 1 species